GACGAACGCUGGCGGCGUGCUUAACACAUGCAAGUCGAACGGAAAGGCCCUGCUCUUGUGGGGUGCUCGAGUGGCGAACGGGUGAGUAACACGUGAGUAACCUGCCCUUGACUUUGGGAUAACUUCAGGAAACUGGGGCUAAUACCGGAUAGGAGCUCCUGCUGCAUGGUGGGGGUUGGAAAGUUUCGGCGGUUGGGGAUGGACUCGCGGCUUAUCAGCUUGUUGGUGGGGUAGUGGCUUACCAAGGCUUUGACGGGUAGCCGGCCUGAGGGUGACCGGCCACAUUGGGACUGAGAUACGGCCCAGACUCCUACGGGAGGCAGCAGUGGGGAAUAUUGCACAAUGGGCGGAAGCCUGAUGCAGCAACGCCGCGUGCGGGAUGACGGCCUUCGGGUUGUAAACCGCUUUCGCCUGUGACGAAGCGUGAGUGACGGUAAUGGGUAAAGAAGCACCGGCUAACUACGUG
rnacentral:rRNA from 1 species